UCGACUGCGCUUCGUGAAAACGGAAAAGCAAAUGUCCUCUUCCAAUUUCAUGUCAGGACCCUGGGCAAUUGCUCGCGCCGGACAGGCAUGAGCGUGAUCCUGUUCGAAGUAGCAAUCACAAAAGAGAAUCACGGAGGGACUGGGUGAGAGCGGAGCUCGCUCAACGAGGCUGGGGACAUUGUCGGGGUGACAAUCUUUUAAAUUAAAGUUCCGCUUUUUAUUUCCAAUUCCAGAUUGUUGCGAAUGGCAAUCUCUGCAUCUUGGCUGCACUUGCCCUUGAUGCUGGUGCAGAUAUUGAUCUUUCAGUUCUCAUUAAGAGCUACUGCAAUCAGGAAGGAUAUUGGGUUUCAAACCGUACGUCAAUGCCAAACUACUGUUCAAGGACGAUACUUUCUUUCUGAUGACAACGGUUACGUGUGUAAUGGUCUAUCUGUCGAUUCACAGUCUCGCUGCUGUCCUGAAAUUGGGGAGAAAUUCUCUUGUCAUGGAUGCAAUCUUCUUUCGCAUUGUUGCAACUCUUAUGAAUAUUGUGUUUCAUGCUGCUUGAAUCCUUCACGGACAAAUAAGGAAGAUGCAUUGAAGGUGAAGAUUGCGAAGCCAGCCUCUGCAAGGACUUAUGCAAGUGUUUUUGACUUCUGUGCUGGGAGAUGCCGUCAUAGUUCUGAGAGUGUGGUUCAUGAAAAUGCCUAUCUCAGUGACUUCCAUCACUGUUUUCUUCUGCCAUCAAACUCCUCCGCUGGGAUAAAUAGCAUGCUUCCAGAGGCAAAAUUGAAUGGCAUUAAUGUUGUUGUUGGAAGGCAAGGUGAAUCAUGCGAUUCUAUUUGCAAGUCAAGAGGACAAUCGUGUGUCCCAAAUAAGCUUGUGGUGCUUAACCAAUGUGACAUCAUGCAGAAAUAUAUGACUUGCAAGGGAUCUUGCUUAGCAAGUGCAGGAACAGAUCAACCUGCUGAAGUCGUUCAUGAUGCUCCAAAGCAUUUGAAUCCAGGAUCAUGUUUGUACACUCAAGCACAAUCUACGCUUUCUUGUGAUGGCGCACAUCAGUAUACAAGGAGACUGUGCCCCUGUGCAUAGUGUAAACACCUGGGCGGGAGGAGUUGGCAUCCAGUUUCUGCCAUGGGUCAUGAUCUAAGAAUGCCUUGUUAUCAGCUAUGAUAAAUUAUUUAUAUAUUCUCUUCAGCGAUAGUUCUGGGGCUGUUAUAAGGUUUUCAACGUGGGGGAAAAAGAAAUACAACAGCAGGGUAGAAGGUUUUCAUUGUACCUAUAAUCAGUUUUGCAAAUCAUCAUCUGGUUUAUAUUGUAUCUGACCCAUUCGGAAACCUUACAACAUGGCAAAGCACUAUAAUGGGUAGAAGGCGGCUUCGUGUUUUGAUGUUACCACCAAGGCACCAACGGAGGGAUCAUGUCUGUGAGUCGCAAAUGAAAAUUAAGAUGGGAGAGAGAGCUGUGGAUCCCCCACUUGCCACGGCACUCAUCGCCCUAUCAUCGGUAACGUAGGGUUCAAUAACAACACAAAUUAGCAUCGUCAUAAUAACAACAGUGAAAAAAAAAAAAAAAACAAGAAGGCAGGCUUCACGCCUUGUUUCCACUACUAGACUCCAUAAAAGGGGAGAAAAGGUAUGGAUGCCCUGCGCUAAAGGACGAAGAAAGGCAUUUUGAAUGAUGAAGACAAAAAGGAGGGGGGAAAUGAUGAAGGCAAAAAGGAGGGGGGAAGGUACAAUGUAGGAACAGCUUUCAUUGAUAAAUAAAUACACAUGGAUAACCCAAGUUAUGUGAAUUUAAUCUGUGUGCGCUUUAGAGGGUACAGCGCCCCUUCACAAGCAAUCAGAAGCUAUAGUCUGGUUUGAAGAUUCUCUUGGUGAAUGGCUUUGACACGGCCUCCUUAUCCUUGACUCCGCCGGCUAACCCAUUAUCACUCGCCGUGUCCUCAACGAUGUCUUGUUCCUCUGCACGGAAGGCCGGAUGGCUGAGAAUGCUGCCAAGCAACUGCGUGCCUCUCAAGGCAUUUGUGAGAGGCAAAUGACCCUCAGGGGUGUCGUCAUUGAGUUCCCACAUGAACUCGGUGGGGAAAGACCUGUAAUUGUAUUGUUCCACCUCGGUGUCAAGCUUCUUCAUCCAACCGAGUUUGAGGAAGAACUUGGUGAAGUCCCUCUCUGUUUUCUCAAAUAUCCUCUUCUGCACACUGUACCCGAACUUGUUAUCGCUGUACUGCCUCCAGAGUUCAUCUAUGGUUUUGAGGUCAGUUUCAGAGAUAAAUUGGACCUCGGAGAAGAAGACAUAGCCACGCUUCUGAGCAGCGUCGCCGGCGAGGACGAUGAUGAGGCGGCGGGUCUCUUCGUCGGCCUGGCGGAAGUCAGAGGCGGCGAGGUGGUGGCGGAGGAGGUCGAAGGAGACGGUUUGAGAAGGGGAAGUGGAGGAGGAGGUGAAGGGGGAGACAGAGAAGGCGAGGGAGGAGGAGGGGGAAGAGGAAGAGGAGAGAGAGGCGUUAGGGUUGAAGGCGAUGGAUUUGGGAAAGAGAGGGAAGGAGAGAACGGAGGAGGGAUGGCGGCGGUUGGGGAGAGAAUGGUGGUGGUGAGGGUGGCGGAUGGAGGGGAGGGAAUUGGUGGAAGCCAUGCGAUGUGAAGCCAAGCGGAUGGAUGAGAGUGGGAGUGAGGGAGUGAGAUAAGGAAUAUGUGAAGAGGGAGAAGCAAGGGCUCAUCAAAAGCAAUAUAAUGCCUCCUUUUCAUUGGCUCCCUUCGGGUGAGGUUAGAUCCCCCCCCCCCUCUCCCUUUUUCUUCUCUCUUUUCUCUCUGCCUGUCCCUUUCGCCUUUAUUAAAUCGCUAUUUUUCUUCU